rnacentral:rRNA from 1 species
UGGGGAAUUUUGGACAAUGGGCGAAAGCCUGAUCCAGCAAUGCCGCGUGUGUGAAGAAGGCCUUCGGGUUGUAAAGCACUUUUGUCCGGAAAGAAAUCCUUGGCUCUAAUACAGUCGGGGGAUGACGGUACCGGAAGAAUAAGCACCGGCUAACUACGUGCCAGCAGCCGCGGUAAUACGUAGGGUGCAAGCGUUAAUCGGAAUUACUGGGCGUAAAGCGUGCGCAGGCGGUUUGCUAAGACCGAUGUGAAAUCCCCGGGCUCAACCUGGGAACUGCAUUGGUGACUGGCAGGCUAGAGUAUGGCAGAGGGGGGUAGAAUUCCACGUGUAGCAGUGAAAUGCGUAGAGAUGUGGAGGAAUACCGAUGGCGAAGGCAGCCCCCUGGGCCAAUACUGACGCUCAUGCACGAAAGCGUGGGGAGCAAACAGGAUUAGAUACCCUGGUAGUCCACGCCCUAAACGAUGUCAACUAGUUGUUGGGGAUUCAUUCCUUAGUAACGUAGCUAACGCGUGAAGUUGACCACCUGGGGAGUACGGUCGCAAGAUUAAAACUUAAAUGAAUUGACGGGGUCAUA